UGUGGUUAUCUGGGGUUUGGGAAAAGCUUACUGUUAUCCCAGUUUCUUACACCACCGAAGAAUCUGAAAGCAUUCUCUCCAUCAGCAGAAUUUUCCAUAUAGGCCCCCAGCAUCCAGAAUUGAUCUCAGAAACUCCAGGUAGAAGGAGAAGCUCAGAGGAGAAAUGUGUUCCCAUUCAUCCUAAAACCUGGGACUCUUGGGGACAAGGACACACCUUCUGGUGGGAGCCCCAAUGCCCUGUUUAUCCCUCGUAUUUCAGUCUGUCCCCUGCCCCUGAAGGCCAGUCCUCUAGGGAAGGAGGCCCUGAGGCUGUAAGUUUACACGUACCAAUAGUCCUGAAGGUGCCUUUUGUGCUAUAUGGGGGCCAUAGCUGGCUUUCAGCUGCACAUGGUCAGUAUUACUACAGAGGACAACGGAAUGGCCAAGGGAAACCCAGCCAGAUGUGACUCAGUAAAAAGAAAAUAAACACUCUCACCCCCCAGAAGCUCUGGUUUGGACGAAACAGGUAUACUUCUUUGUGGCCAGUCUUCACUUUCAGGUAACAGGGGUUUAUAGUAAACUCUAGCAGAGUCUAGAAAGGCAAGAAACUGCAGUGAGUCUCAGGGUUUGUGCUCUAGGGAGCCAGGAUAAUAGGGGUCCAUAGCUUGAGCUCAAUAGAUGCAGCCAGCACAGGAGGCACCUGUGUUAUUAGAUGGGGUGAGCCAGUAAGUUGACAUUGUUAUAAAUAUGUAACUAUGACAACAACAUCCCUAGUUCUGCUGUGUCUACCCAACAUGAUUCUUCUAUUCUGCAGACAUUAAAGAGAGUCCAGUCACUA
rnacentral:lncRNA from 1 species